GACGAACGCUGGCGGCGUGCCUAAUACAUGCAAGUCGAGCGCAGGAAGUCAUCCGAACCCUUCGGGGGGACGUUGACGGACUGAGCGGCGGACGGGUGAGUAACACGUAAAGAACCUGCCCUCAGGUCUGGGAUAACCACGAGAAAUCGGGGCUAAUACCGGAUGGGUCAUCGGACCGCAUGGUCCGAGGAUGAAAGGCGCUCCGGCGUCGCCUGGGGAUGGCUUUGCGGUGCAUUAGCUAGUUGGUGGGGUAAUGGCCCACCAAGGCGACGAUGCAUAGCCGACCUGAGAGGGUGAUCGGCCACACUGGGACUGAGACACGGCCCAGACUCCUACGGGAGGCAGCAGUAGGGAAUCUUCCACAAAGGACGAAAGUCUGAUGGAGCAACGCCGCGUGAACGAUGAAGGCCCUCGGGUCGUAAAGUUCUGUUGUAAGGGAAGAACAAGUGCCGCAGGCAAUGGCGGCACCUUGACGGUACCUUGCGAGAAAGCCACGGCUAACUACGUG
rnacentral:rRNA from 1 species